AGUCUCCAGGACGGCGUUGGUGGCAAGAGGUGGAGGUGGGGGUGGAGGUGAGGGUGAAGGCGGGGGAGGGGAUGGAGGGGGUGGCGAUGGCGGAGGCGGUGGCGGUGGCGAUGGGGGAGGCGGUGGCGGUGGGGGUGGGGGAAGCGGUGGCGGUGGGGGUGGGGGUGGAGGAGGAGGAGGCGAAGGGGGAGGGGAGGGAGGCGGUGAUGGAGGUGGGCUUGGCGGUGAUGGAGGAGGGGAGGGGGGAAGAGGAGACGGCGGUCGGGGAGAGGGAGGACGCCGGGGGUUCGGAGGAGGCCUGGGCGAGCGAAUGGGGGAAGGAGGCCGAGAGACCGGGGGUGGCCUAGGCGGUGCUGGCGACCGCGGGGGCCGGCUUCUAGGUGGGGGGGCGUCGGAAGCCAGUCCAACACCUGUUUGUCCAUCCGGAGUGGAAGGGCUAUCAGGCUCGGAUGGAGCCGGCAAAAAUGAAGCGUCUCUAGAAGAUUCUCCCUCCGCGUCGAGUGCGACCGGUGGCUCGGACCAUUCCUCUGCAGCAAGACCCGAGAGCGCGCUGCAGAGCAGCGCAGCCAGGAGAAUAUUUCGUAGUUGAAUAUUUAUCUUCAUGUUGGCUGAUGGCUCAGCGGUGUUGAGCGCUCAGCCAGGCACGACGAAGGAUUGAAUCGAAGCGGGGUUUCGUUCCUGCGGGACAGAGGUUUUAAAAUUACAAGUGUUUCUUGCUUUUGAUUGCGAUGGAAAUGCACAACUGCAGAUGCACUAAGGCGUCGCUCGGGCGGAAGGCGUGCUGCUGUAGGCGGAUGUUCGAGUCCCUGGGUUCCGCGCACACCUUUCGGCAAACUUCAAUAAACCAAAGCCCAGAGGUGCGACACCAGUGUUAUAAAAAUACUAAUAUGAUACAAUACCUGGUGACGAGAAUCCAGCAAGAGAGGUGGACAGCCUCCUUCGCAAUGAAGUCACCACUUCAGCUAAGUACUCAACACUGUCCUCCAAAUAAACUCACCCCACACACGAGUUCAAUGUUCA
rnacentral:lncRNA from 1 species